rnacentral:rRNA from 1 species
GUCUCUUCGGGGAUGAUUAAACCGGCGCACGGGUGAGUAACACGUGAGUGACCUGCCUUUUAGACUGGAACAACUUACCGAAAGGUGAGCUAAUGCCGGAUGAGUUAUAUAAGUGCAUGUUUAUAUAGGAAAAGUUGGGGAGACCUGACGCUGAGAGAUGGACUCGCGUCCCAUUAGCUAGUUGGUAGGGUAAUGGCCUACCAAGGCGACGAUGGGUAGCCGGCCUGAGAGGGUGGCCGGCCACACUGGGACUGAGACACGGCCCAGACUCCUACGGGAGGCAGCAGUGGGGAAUUUUGCGCAAUGCUCGUAAGAGUGACGCAGCGACGCCGCGUGAAUGACGAAGGCCUUCGGGUCGUAAAGUUCUUUCGACAGGGAAGAAAGUGCCUAUAAGUAACUGUGUAUGUAUUGACGGUACCUGUAUAAGCAGCCCCGGCUAACUCCGUGCCAGCAGCCGCGGUAAUACGGAGGGGGCGAGCGUUGUUCGGAGUGACUGGGCGUAAAGAGCACGUAGGCGGUGUUGUAAGUCAUUAGUCAAAGACUAGAGCUCAACUUUAGUAAGGCUAGUGAUACUAUAAUACUAGAGUAUCAGAGAGGAUUGCAGAAUUCCUGGUGUAGCGGUGAAAUGCGUAGAUAUCAGGAGGAAUACCGUUAGCGAAGGCGGCAAUCUGGCUGGAAACUGACGCUGAGGUGCGAAAGCGUGGGUAGCAAACAGGAUUAGAUACCCUGGUAGUCCACGCUGCAAACGAUGGAUGCUAGGUGUUGGGCUUUUAAGUUCAGUGCCGCAGCAAACGCGAUAAGCAUCCCGCC